UGCAAACUGCAUACUGCUUUGAACAUCGACAUCUUGAACGCAUAUUGCGGCCAUGGGUUAGCCUGUGGCCACGCCUGUCCGAGGGUCGGCUUAUAAACUAUCACGACGCCCAAAAAGUCGUGGCUUGGGUUUUGCCAGCUGGCGUGAUCUCCUCUAUGAGUAAUCAUGUGAGGUGCCAGAUCUAUGGCGUUUCCCUAAUGUAUCCGGAUGCACCCUUGUCUUGGCAGAAAGCCGUGGUGAGGUGCAGUGGCGGAAUCGUGGUUUAAUAAUCGGGUUGGUACUCAGUUGUCAGUGUGUUCGGCGAUCCCCUAGUCGGCACACUCAUGAUUUCUGGGAUAAUUCCAUACCAGGCACGUUCCGUUACUGUUACUUUGUCAUUGGUUUGAUGCUGAACUUGGUCAUGUGUCUGAUGCUAUUUCAUAUAACGACGGUACCCUUCGUGGUCUGUCUUCCUGACCUCGGUUCAGACGUGAUUACCCGCUGAACUUAAGCAUAUCACUAAGCGGAGGAAAAGAAA
rnacentral:rRNA from 1 species